GAGGGUAUAGCUCAGUGGUACAGCGCAUGCUUAGCAUGCACGAGGUUCUAGGUUCAAUCCCCAGUACUACCA
rnacentral:tRNA from 1 species